rnacentral:rRNA from 1 species
UUGACCUCGGAUCAGGUAGGGAUACCCGCUGAACUUAAGCAUAUCAAUAAGCGGAGGAAAAGAAACCAACAGGGAUUGCUCUAGUAACGGCGAGUGAAGCAGCAAUAGCUCAAAUUUGAAAUCUGGCGUCUUCGACGUCCGAGUUGUAAUUUGUAGAGGAUGCUUCUGAGUGGCCACCGACCUAAGUUCCUUGGAACAGGACGUCAUAGAGGGUGAGAAUCCCGUAUGCGGUCGGAAAGGCGCUCUAUACGUAGCUCCUUCGACGAGUCGAGUUGUUUGGGAAUGCAGCUCUAAAUGGGAGGUAAAUUUCUUCUAAAGCUAAAUAUUGGCCAGAGACCGAUAGCGCACAAGUAGAGUGAUCGAAAGAUGAAAAGCACUUUGGAAAGAGAGUUAAAAAGCACGUGAAAUUGUUAAAAGGGAAGGGAUUGCAACCAGACUUGCUCGCGGUGUUCCGCCGGUCUUCUGACCGGUCUACUCGCCGCGUUGCAGGCCAGCAUCGUCUGGUGCCGCUGGAUAAGACUUGAGGAAUGUAGCUCCCUCGGGAGUGUUAUAGCCUCUUGUGAUGCAGCGAGCGCCGGGCGAGGUCCGCGCUUCGGCUAGGAUGCUGGCGUAAUGGUCGUAAUCCGCCCGUCUUGAAACACGGACCAAGGAGUCUAACAUCUAUGCGAGUGUUCGGGUGUCAAACCCCUACGCGUAAUGAAAGUGAACGGAGGUGAGAACCGCAAGGUGCAUCAUCGACCGAUCCUGAUGUCUUCGGAUGGAUUUGAGUAAGAGCAUAGCUGUUGGGACCCGAAAGAUGGUGAACUAUGCCUGAAUAGGGUGAAGCCAGAGGAAACUCUGGUGGAGGCUCGCAGCGGUUCUGACGUGCAAAUCGAUCGUCAAAUUUGGGUAUAGGGGCGAAAGACUAAUC